CCUACGGGUGGCUGCAGUGGGGAAUAUUGGACAAUGGGCGAAAGCCUGAUCCAGCCAUGCCGCGUGUGUGAAGAAGGCCUUCGGGUUGUAAAGCACUUUCAGUGGGGAAGAAAGCCUUGGGGCUAAUACCCUCGAGGAAGGACAUCACCCACAGAAGAAGCACCGGCUAACUCCGUGCCAGCAGCCGCGGUAAUACGGAGGGUGCGAGCGUUAAUCGGAAUUACUGGGCGUAAAGCGCGCGUAGGCGGUCUGAUAAGCCGGUUGUGAAAGCCCCGGGCUCAACCUGAGAACGGCAUCCGGAACUGUCAGGCUAGAGUGCAGGAGAGGAAGGUAGAAUUCCCGGUGUAGCGGUGAAAUGCGUAGAGAUCGGGAGGAAUACCAGUGGCGAAGGCGGCCUUCUGGACUGACACUGACGCUGAGGUGCGAAAGCGUGGGUAGCAAACAGGAUUAGAUACCCCUGUAGUC
rnacentral:rRNA from 1 species